rnacentral:lncRNA from 1 species
GAGGAGGAAGAGAAGAUGGAGCAGAUACAUCAGUAGGAGGUGGAUAGUCAUGGCAAGAAGAAUGAAUAGAAGAUGGGACAGAGGAAGUACUCCAAGUGAAAAGUAAAAGGAAAAACAUCUUCAUGGAAAACAACAUCCCUGGAAAUGAGAGUAAGUUUAGUUUUCAAGUUAUAUAAUUUGUAACCCUUUUUACCCAGUGGGUACCCUAUGAAUACACAAGGAUCAGCCCUUGGU